AAAUUCAGAGUUAUGGUCUACUUUCACAGGAACAGAUCAGUCGGUCUGAAGAGGGCCCCAGGUGGUCCACGCACCACACUUUGCUGGACACUGUUCUAAUGUGUUGGUGAAUCAUACCUAGAAAUGGCUGUUGUGAAUUCUGGACGUGGAGCCUCUUUGGGAUCUUGGACCUCUCUUUUUGCAUUGCCAUAAAUAUGAAAGAUGGUAUUAAUAUGUAUCUGGACAGCUUCUAUAUUGAUUGAACAUCAAAUUUAUCUUCGCUACUCACUAUUUCCUGAUGAUGACCUCAAAAUGAAUAAGACCUUAUCAGUGUUUUGUUGUCAGCUUUCAGUUUGACAAGUGUCUUAUUCUGUUUGGGCUGCUGUCACAAGAUACCACCAACUGGGUAGCUCAUAAACCACAGACAUUGACUUCUCACCGUUCCGGAGACUGGAAGCCUGAGAUCCGUGUAUCAGCGUGGCCAGGUAAGGGCCAUCUUCUGGGUGCAGACUUCUUUUUGGAUCUUCACAUACUGGAAGGGAUGAGCUGGCUCUCCAGGGCGUGCUUAAUAAGAGUAUCAAUCCCAUUCCUGUGGGCUCUGCCCUCACGACCUCAUCACCUCCCAAAGGCCCCACCCCCUAAUGCUAUCACCUUGGGAAUUAGAUUUUCAACAUAGGAAUGUGGGGGGCGGGGGCAUAGACAUUUAGACCACAGCAGUAAGUUAUCCUGAGGUGGGGUUGGUGGCAUGAGAAGGUUUUUAGUGAUUGGAUUAUGAACAGUUCACUAAAACUCAGGGCCUUGGAGAGUUAGCAGUGGUGCCCAUGGAGGGAGGCUUUCAGGCCCUAAUUCAGCCCAACACUGGAUUGGGAAUGGUAGUGAAGAACUAGCAUAGACAAAUGGGAACACAGGGUCUCAGGCUGACUGAGGCCCACACUUAGGGAAGCAGAGGAUGGCCACAGAUGCCUUGUGAGAAGUUUAUGGCAAUUCUCAGUUCUCUGACAGCGGUAAUAACCCUCCUGAUCUAUGCCCAGCUGCCCAAAGCAUCCAUCCAGAUGUGUGCUCCAGCAUUUGGCUCACUUGUUAAGCUUCUUCCCAUUAACUGCACAGUCUCUGC
rnacentral:lncRNA from 1 species